GGGAUUGCCUCAGUAACGGCGAGUGAAGCGGCAUCAGCUCAAAUUUGAAAUCUGGCUCCUUUGGGGUCCGAGUUGUAAUUUGUAGAGAGUGCUUCGGGGGAGAGUGCGGUCUAAGUCCGUUGGAACACGGCGUCAUAGAGGGUGAGAAUCCCGUAUGCGACCGCGGCUCGAGCCCGUGUGAAGCCUCUUCGACGAGUCGAGUUGUUUGGGAAUGCAGCUCAAAAUGGGUGGUAAAUUUCAUCUAAAGCUAAAUACUGGCUGGAGACCGAUAGCGCACAAGUAGAGUGAUCGAAAGAUGAAAAGCACUUUGGAAAGAGAGUUAAACAGUACGUGAAAUUGUUGAAAGGGAAGCGCUGGCAACCAGACCUGUCCGUAGGUGAUCAGCCGCUGUUCUCAGUGGUGCACUCGCUCUGCGAUCAGGCCAGCAUCGGUUCUGGCGGUCGGAUAAAGGCCUUGGGAAUGUAGCUUCCUUUUGGGGGAGUCUUAUAGCCCUCGGUGCAAUGCGGCCAGCCGGGACCGAGGACCGCGCUUCGGCUAGGAUGCUGGCGUAAUGGUUGUCAGCGACCCGUCUUGAAACACGGACCAAGGAGUCUAACAUCUAUGCGAGUGUUUGGGUGUUAAACCCAUGCGCGGAAUGAAAGUGAAUGGAGGUGAGACCCCUUAAGGGCGCAUCAUCGACCGAUCCAGAUGUCUUCGGAUGGAUUUGAGUAUGAGCAUAGCUGUUGGGACCCGAAAGAUGGUGAACUAUGCCUGAAUAGGGUGAAGCCAGAGGAAACUCUGGUGGAGGCUCGCAGCGGUUCUGACGUGCAAAUCGAUCGUCAAAUUUGGGUAUAGGGGCGAAAGACUAAUCGAACCA
rnacentral:rRNA from 1 species